CCUUCUGCCAACUUCCCUUAUCAGCCCCUGUGCGUUCGCCUAAAGCCACUCGCUGCAGGGCUGGGGAACAGCCUGCUCUUACACUGCUCUCUUGCCUGCAGCCUGUUUGCAUUCAUGAUUGCAUCCGUGCAUUAAAGUGCUUUGAGCUCCUCGUUACCAAAGUGCAGAGUCUGAGUUUUAACGAGGCACCCGUGGGAGCCGGGACCGGGAGAGAGGAGCCGCCGUCCUGCUGAACCGCGGCAGAGCCUGACAACAGGCACCGCUGCCUGGAAACGGGAUGUCCAAGAUGCAAGAGACCAACUGCAGCCCUGGGUGCAGUCCUUGGUGAAAUGAUGUAUGACAGAGACUGUCACCGUUGUCUACAAAAGAAGGGUGUAAAUGCAAAGAAAGGGAUUUGGAGGUACUCAGCCUUUCAAAUUUCAAGUGAAGGUGGGAGCAGUAGGACUGAAUGACACAAAGGAAAAUGGAGACUGAAUAACAGCUACAAAUCCCAGUGAAGGAGCCAGCAGCAAGAGUGACUCUCCAACGACAGGCUGGCAGUGCCAGGUAGGAGUCACAAUUCUGAUUCCCAUGUGGCUGAGGUAGCCAAUGCAGGGAUGAGCACUGGACAAGUGUCUAUAUUGUUGGGGAGAUGCAUCAGCUCCAGCUCUGCUGCCUUUUACUGGAAGCUCAUACAGGAAGCAAAAUGUUGCCCUCCGCUGUUUGCAGCGUUGCUGGAACAGAGAACUCGCUGCGUCCGAGCCAGUCCAGUGCUUUACUCCAGUGUCACAUCCCUGGCACUGGUCAGGGGAUUUGGAGAGAGACGACUCCCACCCAGCCCACAGAUGCUGCAAAGACCUGAAAAAGGUCCCAUCACCCUCCCUGAGCCACCAGGAGUGACAUCCUUCCACUCUUAGGCAGCUCCCCGAGUCCUGUGAUCACUGCUGAGUCUCUGCCUCCUUUUUGUGCAGGAGAACCUUUGGAACCACCCUCACCAGAGACCACAGUGGACAAAAUAAAACCUUUAAAGGCUCAAGGUAGUUAAUACA
rnacentral:lncRNA from 1 species